UAAGUACUCCCUCAGUUCGAAAAAGCUUGUCCCAAGUUAGUCUCUAAAAUGGAUGUAUCUAACACUAAUUUGAUGUUAGAUACAUCCAUUUGAGGGACAAACUUUUUCAGACGGAGGGAGUAGUAA
rfam:Triticum aestivum genome assembly, contig: Triticum_aestivum_CS42_TGACv1_scaffold_602601_7DL